rnacentral:rRNA from 1 species
UAAUACGUAGGGUCCGAGCGUUGUCCGGAGUUACUGGGCGUAAAGCGCGCGCAGGCGGCGGUGUUGGCUCGGCGUGAAAGCCCCCGGCUCAACCGGGGAGGGUCGUCGAGGACCGCACCGCUUGAGGGCGGUAGGGGCUGGUGGAAUGCCUGGUGUAGUGGUGAAAUGCGUAGAGAUCAGGCGGAACACCCGUGGCGAAGGCGGCCAGCUGGGCCGUCCCUGACGCUGAGGCGCGAAGGCGUGGGGAGCGAACGGGAUUAGAUACCCCGGUAGUCCACGCAGUAAACGAUGCCGACUAGGCGUGGGGGGAGUUGACCCCCUCCGUGCCGGAGCUAACGCGGGAAGUCGGCCGCCUGGGGAGUACGGCCGCAAGGCUA